ensembl:lncRNA
GGCGGCAGUUACAACCGGCAUAUUCCCAGUUGGUGGCUUUAGCAUUUAGAAAUGAGCAUCUGUUCUUCUUCCCUAUUGCAAAGUGGUUUUAACUCAGAGGUGUUAAAAAUAUCUUUUUGCUAACCUUACCCACGAGAGGAAGAGCAACCUUUGGGUAGGAGUGGAUGAGAACAUCACCAGCGCAUGAGGGUUGGCAGCAUGGCCAUUCCAUGGAACCAGAUGCAUACUCUUCUCCGCUCUUUUUCUAAUGGCAGUGAAUAUAGCUGCAGAGUAUGUGAUGUUUCUCACACCCUAAAACCAUCAGAGGGUCCCCAAAUCACAGCCUGCUCCAUGUGCACAAAAGAAUAUGGUUUCUUUUCAUUGAGAGAACUCCAGUGAGGUGCUUUCCUUGAGGUCAAGUUUAUGUUAUUCCAAGAGUGCAAGUAAAUUUGGAAUUUCCUGACUUUUCUUCUUAAACCCCUUUAAAGGUGAUUUAUCUAUCCAAUUUCAACUCCUUGAAAUCUUACUUGGUCUCCAAAAUUGUGCAAAAAAUUACUAGAUAACAAAAAAGCCUCACAACCCAAAAAACCAGAACAACGUCAUUGGCACAACUGAAUUACUUCACCAAGAAAAUGGCUCUGCCCAGAGCUGUGGGAAAAUGCUGUCUGCUUUAUGAUUCUCACAAGAAGUGCUGAAGUUUUCUAUUCAAAACUGGCUUUCUUGGAACACUGUCAUCAUAAGGGCUGAAGAAUUUUUACUUGUCAAGGACUGAUGUUUUCACAAACUACCUCCUAAGAAAAAUGAAAAUUGUAAACAUUAUUUUAAAUGCUUUAUUAUGAAUGUAAGAAUAAAACAUGCAAUUUAAAUAAAGAAAUCUUCUGCUUACUAGAUAAUACUCCUAAAUGACGCACGAACAGUCAGCUCCCAUCAAAGACAAUGAAAUAUUCAUGAGCUCAAAGCCCAACAUCUGCAAGUGACUUACAGAACUGUUGUUCAUAGAAUCAUAGAAAAGGAUAUGUAACUCUUGGCCAUUUCAGAGAUUCAUAAGAUAAAUUUCUUUACCUGUUUCCUUAUUUUGUGGUAGUGAAAUGAUUUGGUUAGUGAACAGAUGUUAACCUCCAUGAAUUCAAUCAUGUCCCUUCAGAGGAAAAAAAAAAGUUUUAUCUGAGGUUGCUGGAAAUUUUCUAAUGUUUAUAUACUUUGUGAAAAAUUGUUUUUUACGUCUAAGUUAAAAAUGCUUGCUUUUGAAAAGAAAACUUGAUUUCUCAAAUAAAUGUUUCUGUAUCUUAAAUAAGUGCAUUAGAAACCUAAAAAAAUUAACUUACUUAUUUUCAUGUAUUUUCUGCAAAGUGGAGUUGAUUUAUAUUGUUUUUUGUUGUUGUUGUUGUUGUUGUUUUCCUCUGUUCCCCUCUGCAAGAUAGAUUUCACAUCUGUAUUACAUCUUCCAAACAACAGUAUGGCUGGAAAGCAUCUCAAGUUGCAAUCCCCUUCAUUUACCUGAACUGGAAAAGGCAUUAUGGGCAGUAACACAGAUAUCAGCAACUCCAGUUUUUAAAGGACCGCAGGAGGGAUUCAGAUAAAUUACCAUUCUCCUAUGUCUCUAAAUCUCAUUACUGUUUCCACGAGCUUUCAAUUUUUAACUGGAAGCACUUCCACAGACACUUUACUCAAAAAUGUCUUUUUAGAAAAUUAUGAUAAUUGAAUUGUCCACAGAGAAUGUCUGCUUUCAGAUGUUGAUGAUUUCUCCUUAUUCUUUGCUUAUAAGUUAGCUGUGAUUUGUAAGGCUCAUGAAUCAGGAAACCCAUUAAGGGAGCAAUAUAGACUUGGAUAAUUAUGCCUAACAUGGAGCCACCGUGAUGGCAAUGACAGCUGCCAUAUGUUCUGCUUAUCUGGGCAACUUGAAAGCUAAAGGAUGGUGUUGUAAGACAGAGAAGAAAGAGAUACUGUUAUGAUUUCUGCUUGUAGGAAUGAGGAAGAAAAAUUAUUGUUCAUAAGCCGCCAUGCGGAUAUUCAAAAUGCAACAUUUCAGCAGUCAGUGUUCUUAGGUGCCCUUGUCUGACUGUUCUUUGAAAUAUAAUUGGACUCUCUGCAUGCAGUUCCUCCUCAAAGUAUGGAAGCAAGUGUUUAAGCUUGCUUGAGGAUUAAGGAAAAUCUAAGUUUCAGAGGAGGUGGCAUUGUGUGAUGAAGCAGAAAAUUGUUGGAAGUAGAAAUCUAAGUUUUCCUGUCUCUGCCAUUUAACACAAUGUUCAUAGCAAAGUUGUCCAAAAUACUGGAUUACAAAUUGUGUUUAUUCCUACUGAUGUAUCUCUUUUUGUAGUUUGACUUAAUACAUUUUAAAUGUUCAGAUUUGUGCAAAAGCAUGCUGAGGAUUUUUUUAUAUUUAUUUAAGUGGAAAGAAACCUCUCAAGAAGUGUGAGUGUACAGGUUGUGUGUGCCAUUUGUUAUAGUUAGAGCACAUUGACAUCAGCCCUAGUACUGAUGUAGUUAUAAUAGUAAAAAUAAGUAUUUCAUUAGGAUAUAUGUUGUGGUAGUUGAAAUAUGAUAUAGGCUAUACUGAGAGAAACAAUUUUUAUGUCAGUUUAUGGUGUUUUUGUCUAUCGUUUACUACUUCAACUGUGUUAGAGAAAUGUGAAUAUAAAAUUACAUUCUGAGAUUUUGCCCUAACAAUAUUUGCUAAGAGAAGCAAUGAUAAUCCAUAUGCAUCCACAUUUAUUGUUUGAUAUAACAUUAACUCAUUCUUAGUUUUCUGCAGAAAAGGAGCUAACUAAAGACACUCUCAUUAAUGGUGAAGUCCCUAUUAUGACUUCAUGGUUAUCAUCACAACAGCCAAUUUAGAAUCCUCUUUAUUGCUGAGAUUUCAAACAGCCAGGCACAGAUAAACAAAAUUGCUCCUCCAAAUUAGAUAAAUGGAAUUUAAAUUAAUGAAAAUGGGGGGAUAGAGUUCCCUUAUACUGAUGACCUAAUGCUUUUUGUGACUAGGUCUAGGACCAGCCCACACCUGCACUGGCUUUUUCUCUUUGUAAUGUAGGAGUCAAUGUUGAGAAAAACAAGCAGGAUGUAAAAUUAACUCUUUUAUGGAAAAGCUUUUACUUGCACUCCCAGGAACAUAAUAACUUUCUUUUGGAAAUCUCAAAACUCUAAUGAAAAAAUAUUAUUCUCUAUGCAACUCUAUUUCCUUUAUGAAGCCCAAAUGAUGUAUAAAAUUAUCUUGACCCAUUUUCCUUCAAAAUCUGGAAAGUAAAGGAAUGAAGGAGCUCACUUAUGUCUUUGGUCACAUCACUGUGCUAUAAACAUGUUGUUAAAAAUAAUUAAAUAUUGUAAACAGGGACAGACUUCAUGUUAGGAAAAUGUAUAGGGAGUUACAAGACUUGUCACCAUAUAGCUGCGUGAAUUUUCCCAUUCUGAUUGGAAAUAAAAAAAGUCAUCACACACAAGAAUUUUUCUUAUGUAUGUCUUGUUUUCAAUAUGUUUCCUAUUGCAUAUCUUGGGAAACUUGUAUGUAGUUUAGGAUUUUUAGUCUUAAAUGUGUAAAAGUGAAAUCUGCAAGUAAACAGCAUUUUUUGUAGUCCAGGUCAGGGGCCCCCAGCACAAGAAGGAUCCAGAGCUUUGGCAACAAGUCCAGAAGAGGCCAUGAGGAUGAUCAGAGGGCUGGAGUACCUCUUCUAUGAAGACUGAGGCAGCUGGUCUUGUUCAGCCUGGAGAAGAGAAGGCUCUGGGAAGACCUCACUGUGGCCUUGCAGUGCUUAAACAGAGAUUACAGGCAGGAGGAGGUCCAACAUUUUGCAUAACUGAUACUGACGAGAUAAAAGGGAAUGUUUUUUUAAAUGAAACAGGAGUAUUUUAUAUUAGAUAUUAGGAGGAAAUUCUUCACUUGUGAUGAGGUCCUGGCACAGGCUGCCCAGAGAAGCUCUGUGUGUCCCAUCCCUGGAAACAGUCAAGGCCAGGCUGGAUGGGGCCCUGUUCUAACCCGAACUGGGGGGUGGCAAGCAGUCCAUGACAGGGAGUUGGAGCUGGAUGAACUUUAAGGUCCCUUCGAAUUAAAGCCAUUCUAUGAUUCUAUGAGAAAAAAGAAAAAAAAAAAAAAAAGAAUAGUCUAGAGAUCUUUCAAAUAUUAACAAUUUUAAAA